UCUUUCUUCUCAUCCCACCCCACAAACUGUGCCAGAGAUGCUAACUAGUAGCUAAAUUAAAUGAUUUAAUUUUCAUCCCCUAUAACAAGGAAUAUUGGUAUGAAGUAUCCAUCUAAAACCUACAUUGCUGUGAUGUAAAGAAAAGGAUUCCAGAAAUGGAUAAAGAUCUUUGACAAAACAAUGGCAUUCUCACAUUAACUCCUGAGAAGAGCAGCUGGGCUCUGCUACCAGGCACAUAAAGGAAGGGCCCACUGAAGCAUUCCUAAUUCUGCACUCCAACCUUAAUGGGUGGGUGAGCUUCUGGAACAGACAAGUCACAAAUGUUGACUAUUAGUUCAGACAUAUUGCCCCUGAAGGUUAAAUGGCUUUCCUCACUGGAUUAAAAAAAUGAAACAAAACAGCAAGAAAACAAUUCCAAAGGCAUUUGAGUAAAAAGCUUACUUAAUAUUUCCAUAA